CCUACGGGUGACAGCAGUGAGGAAUAUUGGUCAAUGGACGAGAGUCUGAACCAGCCAAGUAGCGUGAAGGAUGACUGCCCUAUGGGUUGUAAACUUCUUUUAUAUGGGAAUAAAACGUUCCACGUGUGGGAUUUUGUAUGUACCAUAUGAAUAAGGAUCGGCUAACGCCGUGCCAGCAGCCGCGGUAAUACGGAGGAUCCGAGCGUUAUCCGGAUUUAUUGGGUUUAAAGGGAGCGUAGGUGGAUUGUUAAGUCAGUUGUGAAAGUUUGCGGCUCAACCGUAAAAUUGCAGUUGAAACUGGCAGUCUUGAGUACAGUAGAGGUGGGCGGAAUUCGUGGUGUAGCGGUGAAAUGCUUAGAUAUCACGAAGAACUCCGAUUGCGAAGGCAGUUCACUGGACUGCAACUGACACUGAGGCUCGAAAGUGUGGGUAUCAAACAGGAUUAGAUACCCCUGUAGUC
rnacentral:rRNA from 1 species